GACGUGAAAUAUGUUGUAUUGAGUCUCGUCUCCGUAUCUUCUAGCAUAAUGAAGUAACGAGUUAGAAAACAUGAACAAACUAACCCAUCAUUGUUGAAUGAAUAUAACAGGUCAGCACGGUGUAUGAAUCUUACUCUGAUGAGCUGAAACUUAACUAUACCUAGCUGAAUCCAGCUCCAACAAGGAAAGCCCAGUCCAACCAUCAUUUUUGAGAUGAAUCCAAGCUGUAUAUAUUUAUUGAGCUUGUAACGAAAGGUUCUCUUAGAAGCCUCUAUCAGAGGUACACUCUUCGAGAUUCCCAAGUAUCUGCCUAUACAAGACAGAUUCUGCAUGGUUUGAAAUAUCUUCAUGAUCAAAAUGUGGUUCACAGGGAUAUCAAAUGUGCAAAUAUAUUGGUGCAUGCCAGCGGAUCUGUCAAACUUGCAGACUUUGGGUUAGCAAAGGCAACCAAAUUGAAUGAUGUUAAAUCUGCAAGGGGACAACAUUCUGGAUGGCCCCUGAGGUU